AAAAAGAAUUAAAGAAUCGUCUGAUUUAUUUUGUGUGCGAUCACUCCGUUGCCGUUUCGCGGUGCACACAUCCAACUACCCCUGGUCCCCUUCCUCUCCCAGUCUCUCACACGGUCACACCGGUAUCCAUCCUCGUCUCUCGAUGCAGCCGCCGCUCGCAGUUCCCAUGGCCACUGCAGCUCCGCCCACCCUCGGCCUCCCCCUUCCCGCCGGCGCGCCCCAACUCCGCCCAACCCCUAGCCCGUCCUGCCACCGCUAGCGUGCCCCACCGUCGCCCCCACCCCAGGCCUCCUCCGUCCCGCCUCCGGGCCCACCCCCGGCCUCCCCCGUCCCGCCGCCGCGCCCCAGCUCCUCUGUCCGCCGCACCCCUAGCUCUUCGGUCCGCCGCGCCCGCCGCUCGUCCUUCCGGCGGCGCCCCAAGAUCCUAUGGCCAGCCGCGCGCUCUAGUUCGUCCGUGUCGGCAAGCUCGCGUCCCCCCGCAAGCCAACAGCUCGUCGUCUCCUCCCUCUCCCCAUGCGCCGCCACCGAAGACCAGGCCGGUUGACCGGAUCCGUGCCGUCGCAGCAAUGGGCGGCCGUGCCCGGCGUCCAGACAAGGAACUGUUUAACCUCGCACUGCAAAUAUGAGACGGUUAUGACUUAAGGACCAUGGAUGUGCAUCACGCGCUCGAUGAGAUGGACAAGGUGCACCUGGAGCGGGAGGAGAUGGACAAGAAACGAAACAAAGAACGUGCAGCCGUAAACCCGGUGAUAAAGCAUGAGCGUGAGAAGAUGGACCUCAAGAUGAAGCAUGUGGAUGCAGAGACGGAUAAGAAGUUGAUGUUGGAGCUUCAAGAAAUGGACAUUAAGGUAAAGCAAGAACACGCAGCCCUGGAUCAAGCAUUGAAGCUAGACUGUGAUAAAAUGGUCAAGGAGAUAAAGAAGAUCCGUAAGGACAUGGAUCAGAAGUUGCAGCACGAUCGUCAGGAGAUGGAUUCCAAAUCUUUGCCAGAGCAACUCCGCAUGGACCGCAUGGAAGCCAAGAUGAUGCUGGACCGUGCGAGGAUAGCUCCAAAGUUUAUAACCAUUGUAGGCUACCACUGACCAAAUACAGUUGCAUAUCCCUCCACCUGAAGAACCGGUUUCAUAUUUUCUCCCGGAAUGAAGAUGGCAUGAAUGAAGAGGGCCAAUUCGACCAUUUUACUUCAUGGGAGCCCAUCGAUAGAUGGGACGAAGGGCACACGCACGAACAUGGAUCAUCGCAACGAACGGAGCAACCUGCAUCGAACUCUCAUAACAAGGCAUUGACUUUUAGCAAUGGCAACGAGUACAUGGACGCAGAAUGCGCGCCGCAUUGAGAGAGAACUAGAUGAUGUUUGAAUGGGUUUUUAGCACAAUCUGAGUUUUGGACUACUGUAAUACCUCGGGCCUAUAUCCUUAAUGACAUUUACUUCAGCUUUUGUUUUCCCAAAAUAUGUAGCGUUAACACGCAGUAAGAUCGGAAGUAAUUGCUUCACUUUAUGCGAUUGCUUUUAUGGGCUA